rnacentral:rRNA from 1 species
UACGGAGGGUGCGAGCGUUGUCCGGAAUCACUGGGCGUAAAGGGCGCGUAGGCGGCCUGAUAAGUAGGGGGGUGAAAUCCUGCGGCUUAACCGCAGGGCUGCCUUCUAAACUGUCAGGCUAGAGCACAGUAGAGGCAGGUGGAAUUCCCGGUGUAGCGGUGGAAUGCGUAGAGAUCGGGGAAGAACAUCAGUGGCGAAGGCGGCCUGCUGGGCUGUUGCUGACGCUGAGGCGCGACAGCGUGGGGGAGCAAACAGG